rnacentral:rRNA from 1 species
AGAGCAGAUGGCGGAUGCCUUGCCAAAGAGAGGCGAUGAAGGACGUACUAGACUGCGAUAAGCUAUGCGGAGCUGUCAAGGAGCUUUGAUGCGUAGAUGUCCGAAUGGGGCAACCCAACUAAUAGAGAUAUUAGUUACUCUUUAAUAGAGAGCGAACCUAGUGAAGUGAAACAUCUCAGUAACUAGAGGAAAAGAAAUCAACGAGAUUCCCUAAGUAGUGGCGAGCGAACGGGGAAAAGGGCAAACCGAGUGCUUGCAUUCGGGGUUGAGGACUGCAACAUCCAAGAGAACGCUUUAGCAGAGUUACCUGGAAAGGUAAGCCAUAGAAAGUGAUAGCCUUGUAUGCGACAAGGCGUUCUUAGGUAGCAGGAUCCAGAGUAGGCCAGGACACGAGGAAUCCAGGUUGAAGCCGGGGAGACCACUCUCCAACCCUAAAUACUACUCUUUGAGCGAUAGCGAACAAGUACCGUGAGGGAAAGGUGAAAAGAACCGCAGUGAGCGGAGUGAAAUAGAACCUGAAACCAUCUGCUUACAAUCAUUCAGAGCCCUAUGAUUUAUCAGGGUGAUGGACUGCCUUUUGCAUAAUGAUCCUGCGAGUUGUGGUAUCUGGCAAGGUUAAGCGAAUGCGAAGCCGUAGCGAAAGCGAGUCUUAAUAGGGCGGACAAGUCAGAUGCUGCAGACCCGAAGCUAAGUGAUCUAUCCAUGGCCAAGUUGAAACGCGUGUAAUAGCGCGUGGAGGACUGAACUCGUACCCAUUGAAACGGGUUGGGAUGAGCUGUGGAUAGGGGUGAAAGGCCAAACAAACUUAGUGAUAGCUGGUUCUCUUCGAAAUAUAUUUAGGUAUAGCCUCAAGUGAUAAUAAAAGGGGGUAGAGCGCUGAUUGGGCUAGGGCUGCUCGCCGCGGUACCAAACCCUAUCAAACUUCGAAUACCUUUUAUCGUAUCUUGGGAGUCAGGCGGUGGGUGAUAAAAUCAAUCGUCAAAAGGGGAACAACCCAGACUACCAAAUAAGGUCCCUAAGUUCUAUUCUGAGUGGAAAAAGAUGUGUGGCUACUCAAACAACCAGGAGGUUGGCUUAGAAGCAGCCAUCCUUUAAAGAAAGCGUAACAGCUCACUGGUCUAGUGGUCAUGCGCUGAAAAUAUAACGGGGCUAAGAUAGACACCGAAUUUGUAGAUUGUGUUAAACACAGUGGUAGAAGAGCGUUCAUACCAGCGUUGAAGGUAUACCGGUAAGGAGUGCUGGAGCGGUAUGAAGUGAGCAUGCAGGAAUGAGUAACGAUAAGAUAUAUGAGAAUUGUAUCCGCCGUAAAUCUAAGGUUUCCUACGCGAUGGUCGUCAUCGUAGGGUUAGUCGGGUCCUAAGCCGAGUCCGAAAGGGGUAGGUGAUGGCAAAUUGGUUAAUAUUCCAAUACCGACUAUGGAGCGUGAUGGGGGGACGCAUAGGGUUAAGCGAGCUAGCUGAUGGAAUAGCUAGUCUAAGGGCGUAGAUUGGAGGGAAGGCAAAUCCACCUCUGUAUUUGAAACCCAAACAGGCUCUUUGAGUCCUUUUAGGACAAAGGGAGAAUCGCUGAUACCGUCGUGCCAAGAAAAGCCUCUAAGCAUAUCCAUAGUCGUCCGUACCGCAAACCGACACAGGUAGAUGAGAUGAGUAUUCUAAGGCGCGUGAAAGAACUCUGGUUAAGGAACUCUGCAAACUAGCACCGUAAGUUCGCGAUAAGGUGUGCCACAGCGAUGUGGUCUCAGCAAAGAGUCCCUCCCGACUGUUUACCAAAAACACAGCACUUUGCCAACUCGUAAGAGGAAGUAUAAGGUGUGACGCCUGCCCGGUGCUCGAAGGUUAAGAGGAUGCGUCAGUCGCAAGAUGAAGCGUUGAAUUGAAGCCCGAGUAAACGGCGGCCGUAACUAUAACGGUCCUAAGGUAGCGAAAUUCCUUGUCGGUUAAAUACCGACCUGCAUGAAUGGCGUAACGAGAUGGGAGCUGUCUCAACCAGAGAUUCAGUGAAAUUGUAGUGGAGGUGAAAAUUCCUCCUACCCGCGGCAAGACGGAGAGACCCCGUGGACCUUUACUACAACUUAGCACUGCUAAUGGGAAUAUCAUGCGCAGGAUAGGUGGGAGGCUUUGAAGUAAGGGCUUUGGCUCUUAUGGAGCCAUCCUUGAGAUACCACCCUUGAUGUUUCUGUUAGCUAACUGGCCUGUGUUAUCCACAGGCAGGACAAUGCUUGGUGGGUAGUUUGACUGGGGCGGUCGCCUCCUAAAAAGUAACGGAGGCUUGCAAAGGUUGGCUCAUUGCGGUUGGAAAUCGCAAGUUGAGUGUAAUGGCACAAGCCAGCCUGACUGUAAGACAUACAAGUCAAGCAGAGACGAAAGUCGGUCAUAGUGAUCCGGUGGUUCUGUGUGGAAGGGCCAUCGCUCAAAGGAUAAAAGGUACCCCGGGGAUAACAGGCUGAUCUCCCCCAAGAGCUCACAUCGACGGGGAGGUUUGGCACCUCGAUGUCGGCUCAUCGCAUCCUGGGGCUGGAGCAGGUCCCAAGGGUAUGGCUGUUCGCCAUUUAAAGCGGUACGCGAGCUGGGUUCAGAACGUCGUGAGACAGUUCGGUCCCUAUCUGCCGUGGGCGUAGGAAAGUUGAGGAGAGCUGUCCCUAGUACGAGAGGACCGGGAUGGACGUGUCACUGGUGCACCAGUUGUUCUGCCAAGAGCAUCGCUGGGUAGCUACACACGGAUGUGAUAACUGCUGAAAGCAUCUAAGCAGGAAGCCAACUCCAAGAUGAACUUUCCCUGAAGCUCGCACAAAGACUAUGUGCUUGAUAGGGUAGAUGUGUAAGUGCAGUAAUGCGUUUAGCUGACUACUACUAAUAGAGCGUUUGGCUUGU